rnacentral:rRNA from 1 species
GACUCCUACGGGAGGCAGCAGUCGGGAAUCUUGCACAAUGGGCGAAAGCCUGAUGCAGCAACGCCGUGUGAGCGACGAAGGCCCUAGGGUCGUAAAGCUCUGUUGUUAGGGACGAAGGGCGAAGCGGUUAAUAGCCCUUAGCCUGACGGUACCUUUCGAGGAAGCCCCGGCUAACUACGUGCCAGCAGCCGCGGUAAUACGUAGGGGGCGAGCGUUGUCCGGAAUUAUUGGGCGUAAAGGGCGCGUAGGCGGCCUGGUAAGUCUGCUGUGAAACCUUGGGGCUCAACCCCAAGCGUGCAGUGGAUACUGUCAGGCUAGAGGAUGGUAGAGGCCAGUGGAAUUCCCGGUGUAGCGGUGAAAUGCGCAGAUAUCGGGAGGAACACCAGUAGCGAAGGCGGCUGGCUGGGCCAUUCCUGACGCUGAGGCGCGAAAGCUAGGGGAGCGAACAGGAUUAGAUACCCUGGUAGUCCUAGCCGUAAACGAUGAACACUAGGUGUGGGGGGAGUCGAAUCCCUCCGUGCCGAAGCCAACGCGUUAAGUGUUCCGCCUGGGGAGUACGGCCGCAAGGCUAAAACUCAAAUGAAUUGACGGGG